AUAUAUAGUCAGUGGCUUGGAAAAGAAAGGUAGGGGAAUUUUUGUCACAUUGCAUGCAGACUGGUUGAGCUCAUAAUCAAAGGAGCUUCUUUUCCGUUCAGUUAUAGCAGUUUCAUUUUAAACCUUACCACAGUUACUGCUUCUCUCGCUCAAAUCACAUAAAAUGCUUCCAGUGCUACACAUGAAGACUACAACUCAUUCUGUCUGGUCUCUCACAGUGUGUGGCCCAUUUUUUUAUUUUUAUUUUUUAAAGCAUAUCAUAUUCACUCUCAUGCUGCCUCAGGGAAGUGGAUUGAAACUUUUGUGAGACUGACGUAUAAACUUGGAAGUAAAGCCAGAGUCCUGCCUGAAGUGCUGCCCUGUUUGUGUGGAUGUAGAGAGGCUGAAAUCAGGCACUGGAGGGGCUGCUGCUGUUCUGCUGUGUGGGAAGGGGAAAUUCAGGUAUGCUACUGUGUGAAUCAUCAGCUUUACACUGAGAGAUACCAUCGCUGUUCAGAUCUGUGAUGCUGCAACGACAGCUGAUGAUACAUCACUCAUCACACGUCUUAUGGAAUCCAGGCUAACCUUGAAAUAAUGCAAAGAAAAAAGGCUUCAGAAUAAAUCCAGCAGAGCAUGCAAAAUAUCAUGCACUGCAAGAAAAAAGAAGAGGAUUCAUUGCAUGUCACAUUAUACCCCGCAGUCUUGUUACUUUGGAGCAACGCAGAAAGAUCAAACUCAUAAAUAUUGUCUCUUCUGGGACUGAUGAAAAGCAUACAGCCAAUUAAAAUCCAGCUUAGUACUACUGGUUCUUCCCCUUCUCCCAUCUCACUUUUACCCCCUUCUUGUUCUGUCUGUCAUUCUGUGCAAGGUACAGCCUAGUUUGCAGAACUAGGUUGCAAAGGCAUGUACUGUAUAUUUUUAAUGAUGAGGACCCAGGCAGGCUUGUCACCCAAAGUCGUGCUUUCAUGCAUACCAAUUCUGUUUCACAGCAUCGUCGUCCUCUUUUAUUUAAAUAAACACUUCACUGGCAUGCCCUCAUCUAUCUGUUUUCUGUUUAUAACUUUGACUUUUAGAUUUUUUUGGGUUAGGCUGGCAUGUCUUUACUGCUUCCUGGAAACAUUGAUGAUGGCAGAAUAGGACAUGAAGCGUAAGAAAUCUGCCAUCCGCACUGUUGUACCUUGCUUUGAAAGGUGUAUGGGGAAAGCGGGAGCUGACAUGUUGCUGUCAGUGACACAAAGUGAUGUCUUUGCAGAUCAGCCCCACAGUCACGCUCAUGUUGUGACCGCUCAGGUUUGAAUGUUUAAACACAGGGAAUCGCUGACAAAAAGGCUAUUUGAACAUUGGCUGAACAUAAGUCGGAGUUAUAAAAAGCAGCAUGGCAUCGGGGCAAGUGAGGAAACCCAAAUCGAAUCCUGUGCACAGCCAUAACCGUCUUUUUUCUUCUUUUUUGUGGAUUUGUCUCUCCUGUGCCCGUGCAGAUUAGCUGGGCUGGUUUUGGCUACAAAAACAUCUGUGACCUAAAUUCGACGUGUUUCACCAAAAAGAAUGAAGAGUUGAAGUCCAAGAAGUUAGUUGGGUAGAAAGCCUUCACCUCUAGUUGUUUUGUUUUUCUCUUUGAGGAACAGAUAUCUGAAGCGAAAUCUAUUUUUAAAGUCUCUUCUGGUAUUUGAACAACGCACAAAAGUUUAAUUUCCUGGAGUGAUCUUUGUCCUACUCAAAGUGUGUUAUUCUGAGAUAAACAUCACAAACCUCCAAAUUCUGCAGAAAUUGUCUAGCUGACUUUCACUCACGCACACACACACACACACACCUACACACACACACACACACACACACACACACACACACACACACACAAAGCAAAGCUCAAUUCAGCAUGCUGCUGAUAUUGCUUCCUGAAGACUGAACACAGCCCAUUAAGUUCCAUUAAAUGAGUGCAAAAUCAAAUGCAAUUCAGCGUUGUUUAUUUUGCAAUCCGUAAUUGAAUUGUGCAACAACAGCAUGAAUUAACACUAAAAAUUCCGAAAAGCUAUCAGUGUUUAAAUGAAGCAAUCACAUAACCCUUAUUUUAAGGGUUGUUUUUCUGUAAGUGAAAGCACCUUGGUUCAGGUUUUUAAAAAGCCAGCAUAGUCAAAGUUAAAGAGAAGCUACUGGAUAUACUUUCCUCCUUCACACACACUGAUUGGGGUGGAAAAGUUAUUUUAUUUUCCUUGGUGAAAUCACGUAUUUGCUUUUAUAAAAUAGCAUUCUUUAUUUCAAGAACUUCAGAAUGGCUGGUUCAGUCUUGCCUUGACAUUUUACAGAAUAAUCUUAUUUUCUGUGGAAAAUGAAUAUACCUCGGCUGGCCACUGGUGCAAAAAUCCAUGAGCUGUCAUUAGUUACAGCAUGCUGCUGGUACAGCAUGAGGCUCUGAAAUUUAGUUGGUGAGGGAAACAUUUUCAUCUUGUCUAUUCUUAUAUAAUUUGUACAACUGUCUUUCUGGGAAUGUUGGUAUGCUUUGUACAAAUGAAAACACCAGAGGUGGGACCAAGUCAAUGUUUUGCAAGUCUCAAGUAAGUCUCAAGUCUUUAUCCUCAAGU